ensembl:lncRNA
AUGGCAAAGCCAGAGCUAGCAUCUUUGUUGAGACAGGCGCUGUACGUUUUGGACAAAGAAAAGGCUUCCAGUAACGUUGGAGAGGCUUCUUCCUCGACCACCACCUCGUCCAUUUUACCAACAUCGAAAGUGUUCAGUCUAAACACAACCCUGACUCGCGCCCACCAUGCUGUUCAAGACGAGGUGUCCAGAGUCUUUGCGCCAUAUAGCCGACCUGCAGCCAAAAAGAGGCCAGCAUCUCCGUGGUCAAUCAAACCAUCUAGUACCACCUCAUACACACACAAGUUCUUUUGUAUGAGUAGCAGAAAGGAUGACAAAGUGCCCUCACUGUCGUAUAAAGAAACACUGACAGCUGCUGGAAUGGGGGAGCGUAAAAUAGUAUUCCCAGAUAAACUUUGCAGUGCUAUGGACUUCUCAGCACAGUUGGUCCACCACUAUCACAAACUCAGGGAUGGAGGUGGUUAUGAACUGCUUCAUAUUGUCGGUUCGACCAGAAGCAAGGUGCUUGAGGUUCUGCCCUGCCCAAAAAACGGAUAUUCCCCCAUGUACCUUCUCAGUGCUGAAGCAGGACUUGGCAAAGCCACUAUCUACAUUAGACCUCUGCAAAAAGAUCUGUGUCUAGAACCAGUGAGUUUACUAUAAAUUCUAUAAUGACCCUUCCAGUUCAAUUUCCUGAUACAUACAAUAAUACAAUUUUGAUCAUUUGAUUUUUAAAAUUAAGAGUAGGAUUACCUGUUGGGUAAUGUAGGUGCUUAGCAAAAUAGCAAUAUGAUGCUAGAUUGCAGUUAUAUUAUUUGGUCUGGGCUGCAGGUUUGUUGUACAUUGGAACUGUUCUGAUUAUCAAAGCUGUCUUAGGGGCCUUUCACAC